rnacentral:rRNA from 1 species
GUGUCAGCAGCCGCGGUAAUACGGGGGGGGCAAGCGUUGUUCGGAAUUACUGGGCGUAAAGGGCGCGUAGGCGGUUCGCUAAGUUGGAUGUGAAAACUCUGGGCUCAACCCAGAGCCUGCAUCCAAAACUGGCGGGCUAGAGUUCUGGAGGGGGUAGCGGAAUUCCUGGUGUAGCGGUGAAAUGCGUAGAUAUCAGGAGGAACACCGGUGGCGAAGGCGGCUACCUGGACAGAAACUGACGCUGAGGCGCGAAAGCUAGGGGAGCAAACAGGAUUAGAUACCCUGGUAGUCC